UCAAUCUCAUUUUGCUAAACCCAAUGACACACCCGAAAGCAUACCAUAGGCAAGCAUCAACAGUUUACUUAUCUGAUAGGAAUCUAUUUAAUGUAUUUGAGUCACGUUCGUUAA
rnacentral:rRNA from 1 species